rnacentral:lncRNA from 1 species
CAGGGAUGCUGUGCAGAUGGCCAGUACUUGCAGUGUGAGCCAGCUCACUGGUACACAGAAAGCUGGAGUUUGAGAGGAGAGAGCAAAAUACAAAGUGUGUGUCCUAGACUCUCCCAUCUAGCCUUCUCAUGAGAUAGGCCAACAGCCUUCAACAGGUGAUGCUUCCUUCAGUAGCCCCACCUCCCUUGGCUUCUGCCCCUGACCUGGCUCAGGAGUCUUCAUGGGAACAGUGUGCCCUUGUCUUCAUCAAAAGCAGCCCUGCAGGGAGGAGGCUCGGAAGGAACUGGUUAAGAGAUCAGAGUAACUUUUGAGCUAAUGAGGACACUAGGUGACAUCAAGCCCAAACACUUUCUGAACAAGUGGCUGGUCCUGAGAGGUGAUCGAGGUCACACAACUAUAAGAUAUAAGCAGGAACUGAAAAAUCACAUCUCCAGACUCAUCACUUGGGCUUGGCCAUGGACUUGCAUAUCAUUGCUGAGAGAAGUCUCAACAGCAGCUUAAGUACUAUUGAAGACCUCAAGAUGACAAAUUUUCUCCAUCACUUCUAAGGCUGAAUUGUCAUAUCCAAUGUGCUUUAUGACUAUGCUUUGAUUUGUGCUGAUGGAUCUAAGGUGUGCACCUCUGGAGGCUUUGAGGUGGCUAUACUUCAGUUGUGGAUAAAGAGGUGAAGAAGGACAUCUAUGGUGAUGCUCAGUAAUAUCUGCGAAGAACUGUGGAGACAGACAAAUAGUCAAAGGUGAGGUCAGUGCUUGCAAGUAUCUUCUUUUAAAAGAGUUGCCGAAUACCAAGAGGAACAUCAUGGGAAAAAUGCAACAUGAAGAAAGAGGAGAAUUUAUCACUGCAAGAGUUAUUUCAGCUGCAAGUGUUGCUAUCAAUUUUUUCCCUCUCUAGUGGUUCAUUUGAAAUAUGGGAUAGUGAGGGAUUCAUUGCUUUGUGCAUUGGAGGUUUGUUUGUGUGUUCAUUUUCAUUAACAGUCAUAUUUCCUUUCUGAUUUAUGUGAAUUCUUUUUUUUCUUUGUUUGGCAUUGUUUCUGAUUUUUAGCCCUAUAAACACUGAUUUCUCAGGAGUAACCUAAUUUCUAUCUUUUUCUUUUUUAUUUCCAUAUUAUGUCACUUUACAAAAACAAAAAAUUGGUGUCUUGAAAAUCUUUUCCUUAUUAAUCAUAAAGGUAAAGUAGAGUUUCUCUCUAAUGUGGGUUUUGCACUCAGAUGAAUGUUAUACCUUCUGGAUCUCUCUCUCAAGCUAUGUGUAAGCAGAAACCUAUUGUUUUUCCAUUUAACAGUAUGAUUGAUUACAUAUUUAAUUCAUUCCUGUUGUCAUCAGUUCCAGGCAAAUUAAAAGUGUGUAUUUCUGCCUGUCAGGAUAAUGGAGGCACUGGAAAUAACUUUCUAGAACCCUCAUAUUUUGGAUAAAAUUGCUUUCAUUCUCCUUAGCGCUGGAAGUUUCCUCUUAUCAUCUAAUCAAAUCCACUGUCAUCAUAGAAGUAGAUUAUUUGCAGAAUUUCCCUUGAUAGGUUGAUGUUGGCAUUUUUUGUGCCGGGUUAUUUUGCCAAAUUAAAAAAAUGGAUACUUUCUGUGUUAAGCACAAACUCCGUCUUGCUCUUGGAUUGGCCAUUUCUUCUAGACUCACACUCCUUCAGCACUGGCAGAGAGAAUACAGAUGACUUUCAGAAGAAGUGUGAACAUCAAGCUGAGGAGCUUUUUUGAAGAGCAGGAUCUUUCUAUCAACAUGGGAUAGUGGAAGAUUAAAGUAGUGAUGACUACAUAUAGAAAUACAAAGUUGAAGUGAGAGACGCAAGUCUGAUACUGCAAAAGAAAAAUGUAAGAAACUUAGGACUCAACUUUAUCAAUGAGUUCGUUCAACUAUAGAAAUGCACUAGGGACUGAAUGGUGUCCCCCCAAAAUUUAUAUGUCAAAGCUCUAAUCCUCAAUAUGAUGAUCUCCAGAGAUGGAACUUUGGGGUGGUAAUUGGGUUUAGAUGAGGUUAUGAGGAUGGGGUCCUCAUGAAGGGAUUAGUGCCCUUAUAAGGAGAGGCCAGAGUGCUCACUUGUUCGCAUAUGCUCUUGUAUUCUCUCUCUCUCCUCAACCCCCACCAUGUGAGGACACAACAAGAAGAUGGUUGUCUACAAGCCAGGAAGAGAACCUUCACAAGGAACCAAAUCAGCGGGCACCGUGAUCACGAGACUCCCAGCCUCCAGAACUGUGAGAAAUAAAUGUCUGCUGUUGAAGCCAUCCAGUCCACAGUAUUUUGUUACAGCAGCCUGAGCAGAUUAAAAUAAAGAAAUGUAACUUGUGAGAUAGACAGAAAGGUAAGAAAGAGAAAAUGCAACAUAAAGUCUAUGCUUAAAGGAGCGCUUAUUAGUAGUUAAGAUGAGCUAGGCAAAAUAUAAAUGGUAGAGAAAUGAAAGAUGACAACACUCAUAACUUGCUCAUUCAUGCAACAGAUACGUGCAGAGUAUCUAUUGAAGGACCCUGCACUGGUACUUAGGAAUCAAACUUAAAUCCCACCUUCAAAUCUGACAGAGAUAAGACAUAGACAGACUGUUUUUUAUUUGGGUAAAUUAUUCAUACCCAUUAAAAGAUCUGUAGAUAAAUGCCUUUGGAUUUCUAAGAGGGGAGAUAUUAUUUUCAACUGGGAGAAACACAGGAAUAUCAUUUUAUGUACUAAGUAGCAUUUGGUGUAGAGCUUAUAGAGAAAUAGAAUGUUCACAUGGAGAGAAUGCUGUAUGGGGAACUCCAGAUGGAAUAAUUGGUAUUAGCUCUGGUCCCAGAGUAGUGACUAUCUUUGCAGGAAACCUCAGGUGUAAUCUUAUGGACCUCUGGAAAGACUGUAACAAAAUAACUAUUUAUGGAGAUGACUGGCAAAGUUAAGGACACGGACAAGGGACAUGAGGGGCCUAGGGACAGGCAACAGUGAGAAGUCACUCCUAGGAAAGAGUGUUCAGGGAGCCAGUGAAGAGUGUAGCCAUGUAGAAAGAAUGGCCUGACAGAGCAUUCAUCCUAGAGGGAUGCAGCUGCUGCAAGAGCCAUGAUGCUGAUGCAGGAGGAGAAGAGGGAGACAGAAGGAGACAGGAAGAGACAGGAGGAAAAGCCUCAGCCUCUCCCUUCCCACUCUCCAACCUCCCUGCUUGAACGCUCACCAGCUGAUCCCAACAAGAAACACAGUCAGUAGGAACAGCUCUGGAGCACAGCUUGAGGUAGAAAAUGGAGCAGGGUAGGGACCAAGUGGAAAAUAAUUGCCAUAGCUACUGAGACAGGAGAGAAGAAAAUGUGUAUAUGAGAAAACAGUUUGUUUUGGCUAGAAUAAAUGAUGCAUGAGGGCAAAAAGCCAGAGUGUGCUUAUAAAAGUAAGUGGUAGCUGAAACUCAUCAGAAUAAUGACAAAAUAAAGGGAAACGAAAAGACGUAUGAAUCUGGUGCUUAACUCAUCAGGGAUGUUUGGCGCCUUUCCUGGAAAUUACAGAUAAAAGCAACAGGAGUGGAGAGAAAUGACAUCAGAACAUAAGAGGUACCACAAAAUAUGAGUUAGUUUUUAGAAAUGUGAAUGUAGCAGUGGCCAAGAAGAGGCAGUAGAGAGAAAGCAGUACUCUGAUUCCUCCAUCUCACUCAAUGAGGUGAACAGGAAGAAUGCCAUUUAUUUUCUCGGACAAAGGCAGCAUAGUCUUUAGACACUUGCUUGGAUCAGGAGGGACAGGCUACUUCCAUGAUUUGGGUCAUUGUGAGGGAAGUAGUUAAGAAAAAAAAAAGAAGGACAGGAGAUAAGGGAACUAUUUGCGGGACUAGUAGAAAGAAGGCAGCAGUGAGAGCAGGGACAGGUGGAACAGAGCUAAAGAGGAAAGAGAGAAGGAAAAGGGAUGGCAGGGGAUGGUGAUUUUUAAUGGCAGGAUCAGAGAGUCACGUUGUCGGAAAGUUGAACAAAUAUAUAUUAGCCCCUGUGGGAAUUCUAGAGAGGAAAACCAGCCAUGAGACCUUUCUAAGUAUAUACUCUUAAGAGAAAUAUUGAUGUAGUAUUCAACCUCAGAGGUUAAGGAAUAGUGGGUUUCAGGAAGGACCUGGAGGGUGGUCAGCUGCACACGUAGAGGUGUGCUGCAGCCAGCUUGUACCAGCUCCUGAGAAUCAAUUGUGCACAUCUCUUUCCAACUCUGGGCUCUGUGGCUUCACAUAAACACCAAAAUAUGUCAUGGUAGGUGUAGUUCUACCCAUAGAAACUGGCAAAUGCUACAGAUGAGGGUUCCCUUCUCACAAAGUCAACUAUCAACCCCAGAGCCUCUUAUUAAACCUUUACCAGCACACCACUGAUCUGCUGCAGCUUCAAUUUGAGGACAGGUUGUUGCAAUGAGCACUGAGGAAGGUGUUGCAUGAGAACAUGUUCAUGAAAGAAGCAGCACCCUCUGCCAAAGAUCACCGGGUGAGUGUGUGCUGAGCAGGUGCAGGCAUGGUCCUCCUUAAAAGACUGGAAUCAGAGGCUGCUCAUUGAUUAGAACUACAUUUUGAUCAAGCUGAGAGAAUUCCAGGUGAUACAACCUGGAAUAAGCUAAGCAAAUAAAAAUAAGUCAUCAACAACCUGUCAGGCAUGCGGAAUUCAGUGAAUAGAAAAUUAACCCAUUCCUCUGAACUAAGCAAUGCUUGAUUUAGCUUCAGUGAGCCUUACAAGUGGAAGCUGGCACUUUCUUCCUGUUUGUUUGUAUCUACUGCAAGAAGUAAAAAUACAUACCACCUACCUGAAGCCUGUCAUGGUACUUGUGUUUCUGUAGGAAUAUUUUCUACAACAUCUUAAGUUACUGCUAGAAAUUGCCAGCAAUUGUGUCUGUGUUUUCCCAUUUUUGAAAGAAAUUAAUACUCUCAAUGCCUUAGAGUUGCUCCUUCCCACCUUCUGAUGCCUUGUCCUGGGCUUAGUGGAUGUAAAUUAAC